CGUCAGAUAGCUCAGUGGUCUAGAGCAGUCGCCCGGCAAGCGAAAGACCCCAGUUCGAUUCCCGGUCUAGCGA
rnacentral:tRNA from 1 species